rnacentral:rRNA from 1 species
UACGUAGGGUGCGAGCGUUGUCCGGAAUUAUUGGGCGUAAAGAGCUCGUAGGCGGCUUGUCGCGUCGGAUGUGAAAGCCCGGGGCUUAACUCCGGGUCUGCAUUCGAUACGGGCAGGCUAGAGUGUGGUAGGGGAGAUCGGAAUUCCUGGUGUAGCGGUGAAAUGCGCGGAUAUCAGGAGGAACACCGGUGGCGAAGGCGGAUCUCUGGGCCAUUACUGACGCUGAGGAGCGAAAGCGUGGGGAGCGAACAGG